rnacentral:sRNA from 1 species
UACUUAUGUAUUGUUUAGUUCAUAGAGAUGAGGUCCGUGAGAUUUCAGACAAUAAUCUCUACAACUGUGAACAGCUUUACAAAGUUCCUGGCAGCUGCAAAAGUAGACCCGGCUCUGAACUGAUGAACAAGCUUAAAGCUGCAAUUGACAGUCGCAGCAAUGACGCCUCUACCCUCGCAUGCAAGGCCUCCGUUGACCAUUACAAAUGCCUGGAGGAUGCCUACAGGAAGGGAUGUAAUGAAAGCAAUAAAAUAUUUUUGUUUAUUUCUUUGCAAGACUAGGAGGGGCGUGUCUUAAAUCAGAGGGAGUCAGUAACGACCUCGUACUUAAGACAGUUUGCAAGAGCAGGUCCACUUCAGGUGCAGGAGGGCUGGAGUUAGGAUAUGUUAAGUGGACUUUGGUCAUUCUUAUUAGCAUGCUGUUGAACCUUGGAUCUUAUUACGUUCAUCCAAGUAUUACGUCACGUAGCCUUGAGACUGAUCAAACCAUGAUGGAACAGAAAAACUUUACGAGGCAGCAAGCGCUAAGACUAUUUCUUAAUUACAAGUAAUAGAUGUUAAUGAUUGAGCUGGUUGUUUGUUGAUGGAUUUCUUGACUUGUAGAGAGGACAACGACUGCCAUCUCAUGAGAGGUUGUUGCUAUUUCUUGAUUGGUUUCUCUUAGCUUUUCAUAAGAAAACAAGUCUUUUGAUAUUUUCUUUCAUUGUGGAGUUGUUUCUUCCUAGACAAAAUUGUUAUGUUUUGAACCGUUUCAUAAUUUCCUACCAUGUACCAUCAUGACCUAACAUUCACCAUCAUGAUCUAACAUUCACCAUCAUGACCUAACAUUCACCAUCAUGACCUA